rnacentral:rRNA from 1 species
CCCAAUGACUUAGUUGUACGAGUUUGAGACUCUUUAGCAGAUAGCUCAGUAACACGUGGCCAAACUACCCUAUGGAUCCAGACAACCUCGGGAAACUGAGGCUAAUCUGGAAUAGGGCUCUCAUCCUGGAGUGGAGAGAGCCUGAAAUGCUCCGGCGCCAUAGGAUGUGGCUGCGGCCGAUUAGGUAGACGGUGGGGUAACGGCCCACCGUGCCAGUAAUCGGUACGGGUUGUGAGAGCAAGAGCCCGGAGACGGUAUCUGAGACAAGAUACCGGGCCCUACGGGGCGCAGCAGGCGCGAAACCUUUACACUGCACGCCAGUGCGAUAAGGGGACUCCAAGUGCGAGGGCAUAUAGUCCUCGCUUUUUGCGACCGUAAGGUGGUCGCGGAAUAAGUGCUGGGCAAGACCGGUGCCAGCCGCCGCGGUAAUACCGGCAGCACGAGUGAUGACCGCUGUUAUUGGGCCUAAAGCGUCCGUAGCUUGGCCGCGCAAGUCUAUCGGGAAAUCUCUCCGCUUAAC